CCUACGGGAGGCAGCAGUGAGGAAUAUUGGUCAAUGGCCGUAAGGCUGAACCAGCCAAGUCGCGUGAAGGAAGAAGGAUCUAUGGUUUGUAAACUUCUUUUAUAGGGGAAUAAAGGUAUCCACGUGUGGAUAUUUGCAUGUACCCUAUGAAUAAGCAUCGGCUAACUCCGUGCCAGCAGCCGCGGUAAUACGGAGGAUGCGAGCGUUAUCCGGAUUUAUUGGGUUUAAAGGGUGCGUAGGUUGUUUUUUAAGUCAGCGGUGAAAGUUUGUGGCUCAACCAUAAAAUUGCCGUUGAAACUGGAAGUCUUGAGUGUGUUUGAGGUAGGCGGAAUGCGUGGUGUAGCGGUGACAUGCAUAGAUAUCACGCAGAACUCCGAUUGCGAAGGCAGCUUACUAAGCCAUACCUGCCACUGACGCACGAAAGCGUGGGGAUCAAACAGGAUUAGAUACCCGUGUAGUC
rnacentral:rRNA from 1 species